GAUGAACGCUGGCGGCGUGCCUAAUACAUGCAAGUCGAGCGAACAGACGAGGAGCUUGCUAGUCUGACGUUAGCGGCGGACGGGUGAGUAACACGUGGAUAACCUACCUAUAAGACUGGGAUAACUUCGGGAAACCGGAGCUAAUACCGGAUAAUAUAUUGAACCGCAUGGUUCAAUAGUGAAAGACGGUUUUGCUGUCACUUAUAGAUGGAUCCGCGCCGCAUUAGCUAGUUGGUAAGGUAACGGCUUACCAAGGUAACGAUGCGUAGCCGACCUGAGAGGGUGAUCGGCCACACUGGAACUGAGACACGGUCCAGACUCCUACGGGAGGCAGCAGUAGGGAAUCUUCCGCAAUGGGCGAAAGCCUGACGGAGCAACGCCGCGUGAGUGAUGAAGGUCUUCGGAUCGUAAAACUCUGUUAUUAGGGAAGAACAAAUGUGUAAGUAACUAUGCACGUCUUGACGGUACCUAAUCAGAAAGCCACGGCUAACUACGUG
rnacentral:rRNA from 1 species